CCUACGGGAGGCUGCAGUGGGGAAUAUUGGACAAUGGGCGAAAGCCUGAUCCAGCCAUGCCGCGUGUGUGAAGAAGGCCUUCGGGUUGUAAAGCACUUUCAGUGGGGAAGAAAGCCUUGGGGCUAAUACCCUCGAGGAAGGACAUCACCCACAGAAGAAGCACCGGCUAACUCCGUGCCAGCAGCCGCGGUAAUACGGAGGGUGCGAGCGUUAAUCGGAAUUACUGGGCGUAAAGCGCGCGUAGGCGGUCUGAUAAGCCGGUUGUGAAAGCCCCGGGCUCAACCUGGGAACGGCAUCCGGAACUGGCAGGCUAGAGUGCAGGAGAGGAAGGUAGAAUUCCCGGUGUAGCGGUGAAAUGCGGAGAGAUCGGGAGGAAUACCAGUGGCGAAGGCGGCCUUCUGGACUGACACUGACGCUGAGGUGCGAAAGCGUGGGUAGCAAACAGGAUUAGAUACCCGGGUAGUC
rnacentral:rRNA from 1 species